rnacentral:rRNA from 1 species
GCUAACUAAGUGCCAGCAGCCGCGGUAAUACGUAGGGUGCAAGCGUUAAUCGGAAUUACUGGGCGUAAAGCGUGCGCAGGCGGUGAUGUAAGACAGAGGUGAAAUCCCCGGGCUCAACCUGGGAACUGCCUUUGUGACUGCAUCGCUGGAGUGCGGCAGAGGGGGAUGGAAUUCCGCGUGUAGCAGUGAAAUGCGUAGAUAUGCGGAGGAACACCGAUGGCGAAGGCAAUCCCCUGGGCCUGCACUGACGCUCAUGCACGAAAGCGUGGGGAGCAAACAGGAUUAGAUACCCUUGUAGUC